rnacentral:rRNA from 1 species
UACAGAGGUCCCAAGCGUUGUUCGGAUUCACUGGGCGUAAAGGGCGCGUAGGCGGCUUGGCAAGUUGGAUGUGAAAGCCCAGGGCUCAACCCUGGAAUUGCAUUCAAGACUGCCUUGCUUGAAUUCGGUAGAGGUUGGUGGAAUUCCCAGUGUAGAGGUGAAAUUCGUAGAGAUUGGGAAGAACACCCGUGGCGAAGGCGGCCAACUGGACCGACAUUGACGCUGAGGCGCGAAAGCGUGGGGAUCAAACAGG